UCAAUCAAAUUGUCCCAUUAACAAUAUGAGAUUAAGGGUGAAUCUAGGAGAAGAACAACGGAUUGAGGCAAUCGAUUUUGUCAGUUUCAUACACCCCUUUUAAUCUGGUUUCAGACUCGAUCACAUUGUUUCACUGCAAUAUAUAUGGAUCUAGUGCUGAGACAGCUGAGUACAGUAGAGUUUUCUUGCCACCUUUCUUCAUGUAUUGAUAAUCACCAAAUACAGGUGGACAAUAAUCAAGGGGGCUCGCACUGCUAGAACUCCUAUGUUGGGAUUUGGGGAUGGCAUUCAGAUGAAGUUGUCAGAAAAGAUUUACUAUUCUCAUCACUAUUGUAGUUCCUUUUGUUUUUGAAAGUGAUGAAAUAAUUAUGUAUCAAGUUAAAAACUAAAACUUGUGCAUGAGAAUGUAAGCUAUGUUAUGAAUAACUGAAGCAAUU